GGUUAAGUGACUAAGCGUACACGGUGGAUGCCUGGGCAGUCAGAGGCGAUGAAGGACGUACUAACUUGCGAUAAGCGCAGAUAAGGCAGUAAGAGCCGUUUGAGUCUGCGAUUUCCGAAUGGGGAAACCCAACUGCAUAAGCAGUUACUGUUAACUGAAUACAUAGGUUAACAGAGCAAACCGGGGGAACUGAAACAUCUAAGUACCCCGAGGAGAAGAAAUCAACCGAGAUUCCGGUAGUAGCGGCGAGCGAACCUGGAUUAGCCCUUAAGCACUCGGUGAAGUAGGUGAACAAGCUGGAAAGCUUGGCGAUACAGGGUGAUAGCCCCGUAACCGACGCUUCAUCGAGCGUGAAAUCGAGUAGGGCGGGACACGUGAUAUCCUGUCUGAAUAUGGGGGGACCAUCCUCCAAGGCUAAAUACUCCUGACUGACCGAUAGUGAACCAGUACCGUGAGGGAAAGGCGAAAAGAACCCCUGUGAGGGGAGUGAAAUAGAACCUGAAACCGUGUACGUACAAGCAGUAGGAGCACCUUCGUGGUGUGACUGCGUACCUUUUGUAUAAUGGGUCAGCGACUUAUAUUCAGUGGCAAGGUUAACCGUAUAGGGGAGCCGUAGCGAAAGCGAGUCUUAACUGGGCGCUCAGUCUCUGGAUAUAGACCCGAAACCGGGUGAUCUAGCCAUGGGCAGGUUGAAGGUUGAGUAACAUCAACUGGAGGACCGAACCGACUAAUGUUGAAAAAUUAGCGGAUGACUUGUGGCUAGGGGUGAAAGGCCAAUCAAACUCGGAGAUAGCUGGUUCUCCCCGAAAGCUAUUUAGGUAGCGCCUCGGACGAAUACUACUGGGGGUAGAGCACUGUUAAGGCUAGGGGGUCAUCCCGACUUACCAACCCUUUGCAAACUCCGAAUACCAGUAAGUACUAUCCGGGAGACACACGGCGGGUGCUAACGUCCGUCGUGGAGAGGGAAACAACCCAGACCGCCAGCUAAGGUCCCAAAGUAUUGCUAAGUGGGAAACGAUGUGGGAAGGCUCAGACAGCUAGGAUGUUGGCUUAGAAGCAGCCAUCAUUUAAAGAAAGCGUAAUAGCUCACUAGUCGAGUCGGCCUGCGCGGAAGAUGUAACGGGGCUAAGCAAUACACCGAAGCUGCGGCAAUGUCUUUUAGACAUUGGGUAGGGGAGCGUUCUGUAAGCCGUUGAAGGUGAAUCGUAAGGUUUGCUGGAGGUAUCAGAAGUGCGAAUGCUGACAUGAGUAACGACAAAGGGGGUGAAAAACCUCCUCGCCGGAAGACCAAGGGUUCCUGUCCAACGUUAAUCGGGGCAGGGUGAGUCGACCCCUAAGGUGAGGCCGAAAGGCGUAAUCGAUGGGAAACGGGUUAAUAUUCCCGUACUUCUGACUAUUGCGAUGGGGGGACGGAGAAGGCUAGGUGGGCCAGGCGACGGUUGUCCUGGUUCAAGUGCGUAGGCUUGAGA
rnacentral:rRNA from 1 species